UGCAUGUCACGACACUGUUGCUAUUUAGCCUUCCAUCACUCCUGUCUUUUAUGCCACUCACGUGACACGCGCAUUACCGACUCUUGUGGAAGCCGCUUUCCGCGCUACUGACAGCUCGAAGGAAAGUCCGGGGGACACUUACAGCAUAAAUAAUGAUAUCUCCCUCGGUCCGCACUCAGCGGCGUUCUGCUCCCCAACCAAUGAACGACGCCCUUCCUAUCAUCGAGAGUGACUGACAAGCACUCCAUCAGCAUCAUAUUUCCUAAACAUAACAAGAUUAGGUCGCAUUGUGACGGCACUCGAAGCUAAUUUACAUUCUAAUCUCCACACGUUUCCGUUCUAUCUUCGAGUCUCUCUAUUAUGUUUAACGAUGGCAUUUUUAUGCUACCCAUUUUCGAAACACGUCAAAGAGUGUGAUGCAUCUCGAAAUGGCAGUUUCUGUAAUAAUGGCCGAGGGAAGAAUGGUUGUUGGUGUUAUUUACAUAAACAUUUUUCUUUUUUUUUUUUUUUACAUCUGUGAAUGUAAUAAACUUAUUUAAAUGACGCAAUUUAAAUGACGAGGCGUGACACUGGUAAUAAAACAGGAUUACUCGAACGAUUGUGUGAGUGAGAGAGAGAGAGA